GAGAGAGAGAGAGAGAGAACACGGAAAGAAAUGGGGAGAAAAGAAAAGGGGCAACGCACCGAUCGGCGGAUUCCUGGACCUCCUCGGCGGCGAGGAAGAAGGGGUCCUUCUCCCAGCGGUCGAACGACGUCGCCAUGAAGAUCUCGCCCGCUUGCCGGAUCGAAACCGAAAACCUCGAGCGGGAGGGAGGGAGGGAGGGAGAGAGAGAUCGGAUUUAGGAUCUGCGGUUGGUGGCGCGGUGGGUGAGCGGCGUGCCUGGCUUUCCUCUUCUUUCCGCCAGCUCUUGCUCGCCGCUAUUUC
rnacentral:misc_RNA from 1 species